rnacentral:rRNA from 1 species
AGGACGAACGCUUGCGACGUGCCUAAGAAAUGCAAGUCGAACGGACCAGCAGCAAUGCUGGUUAGUGGCGAACGGUCGCGUAACACGUGGGCAACCUGCCCUGAAGCGGGGGACAACAACUCGAAAGAGUUGCUAAUACCGCAUGUGUAUCGCUGUGGCAUCACAGAGGAUACAAAGCCGCAAGGCACUUCAGGAUGGGCCCGCGGCCUAUCAGCUAGUUGGUGAGGUAACGGCCCACCAAGGCUUCGACGGGUAGCUGGUCUGAGAGGACGAUCAGCCGGAUUGGGACUGAGAUACGGCCCAGACUCCUACGGGGGGCAGCAAUUAGGAAUCUUGCGCAAUGGGCGAAAGCCUGACGCAGCGACGUCGCGUGAAGGAUGAAAUCUUUCGGGAUGUAAACUUCUUUUACCAGGGAAGAAUAAUGACGGUACCUGGUGAAUAAGCCCGGCUAACUACGUGCCAGCAGCCGCGGU